rnacentral:rRNA from 1 species
GACGAACCGUGCGACCGUUGUUCGGAAUCACUGGGCUUAAAGGGCGCGUAGGCGGACGACCAAGUCGGGGGUGAAAUCUUUCGGCUCAACCGGAAAAUAGCCUUCGAUACUGGCCGUCUAGAGGGAGGUAGGGGCGUGUGGAACUUCCGGUGGAGCGGUGAAAUGCGUUGAUAUCGGAAGGAACUCCGGUGGCGAAAGCGACACGCUGGAUCUCAUCUGACGCUGAGGCGCGAAAGCCAGGGGAGCGAACGGG